GUGCUUGCUUCAGCAGCAUAUAUACAAAAUUGGAAUGAUACAAUGAAGACUGGCAUGCUCCCUGUGUAAGGAUGACAGGAAAAUUCAUGAAGUGUUUCAUAUUUUA
ensembl:snRNA U6 U6 spliceosomal RNA